rnacentral:rRNA from 1 species
UACGAAGGGUGCGAGCGUUAUUCGGAAUUAUUGGGCGUAAAGGGUUCGUAGGCGGGAUUGUAAGUCAAGUGUGAAAUCCCCGAGCUUAACUCGGGACGUGCAUUUGAAACUGUGAUUCUUGAGUCAUUGAGAGGGUGGUGGAAUUGUUGGUGUAGGAGUGACAUCCGUAGAGAUCAACAGGAACAUCAGAGGCGAAAGCGGCCACCUGGCAAUGUACUGACGCUGAGGAACGAAAGCGUGGGGAGCAAAC